rnacentral:rRNA from 1 species
CAAACGACUCUCGGCAACGGAUAUCUCGGCUCUCGCAUCGAUGAAGAACGUAGCGAAAUGCGAUACUUGGUGUGAAUUGCAGAAUCCCGUGAACCAUCGAGUCUUUGAACGCAAGUUGCGCCCAAAGCCAUUAGGCCGAGGGCACGCCUGCCUGGGCGUCACGA